CGACUAGUUGACCCUGGAUUUGAUACUAACCUCUUUGAUUUGAGGAGGCUGUUUCUUUUGAGGAGGAGUCUGUUUCUUUUGAGGAGGAGGAGGAGGCUGUUUCUUUUUAGGAGGAGGAGGCUGCUGUUUGGUUUGAUGAGGAGGAGGCUGGUUACUAACCACGGUUUCAUUGGCAUGAGGGGUAGCCUGUUUGUUACUACCCCCGGUUUCUUUGGAAAGAGGGGUAGGCUGUUUAUCUUGAGGGGUAGCCUGAUUGGUUAGAGGUGGAGGGGGAGCCUGAUUGGUGACACCAACCUUCUUCUCCACAGCUUCCAAUCUAU
rnacentral:lncRNA from 1 species